CCUACGGGAGGCAGCAGUGGGGAAUAUUGGACAAUGGGCGAAAGCCUGAUCCAGCAAUUCCGCGUGUGUGAAGAAGGCCUUCGGGUUGUAAAGCACUUUAGUGGGGGAAGAAACAGCUUGGCCACACCAAGCCUUGACGGUACCCCAAGAAUAAGCACCGGCUAACUCUGUGCCAGCAGCCGCGGUAAUACAGAGGGUGCAAGCGUUAAUCGGAUUUACUGGGCGUAAAGGGUGCGUAGGUGGCUAUUUAAGUCGGAUGUGAAAGCCCGGGGCUCAACCUCGGAAUUGCAUUCGAUACUGAGUGGCUAGAGUUCGGUAGAGGGCGGCGGAAUUUCCGGUGUAGCGGUGAAAUGCGUAGAUAUCGGAAGGAACAUCAAUGGCGAAGGCAGCCGCCUGGGCCUGGACUGACACUGAGGCACGAAAGCGUGGGUAGCAAACAGGAUUAGAUACCCUGGUAGUCCACGCCGUAAACGAUGAGAACUUGACGUUGGUUCGUUUUACGAAUCGGUGUCGCAACUAACGCGAUAAGUUCUCCGCCUGGGGAGGUACGGCGCGAGUAGAACGUUAAAGUAGUAAGUAGUAGUUCGUUGUAGAGUUGCGACGGACGACGACGAGGGAGGAGG
rnacentral:rRNA from 1 species